UACGGAGGGGGCUAGCGUUGUUCGGAAUUACUGGGCGUAAAGCGCACGUAGGCGGCUUUGCAAGUUAGAGGUGAAAGCCCGGGGCUCAACUCCGGAAUUGCCUUUAAAACUGCAUCGCUAGAAUUGUGGAGAGGUAAGUGGAAUUCCGAGUGUAGAGGUGAAAUUCGUAGAUAUUCGGAAGAACACCAGUGGCGAAGGCGACUUACUGGACAAAUAUUGACGCUGAGGUGCGAAAGCGUGGGGAGCAAACAGG
rnacentral:rRNA from 1 species